GACGAACGCUGGCGGCGUGCUUAACACAUGCAAGUCGAACGGAAAGGCCCUGCUCUUGUGUGGUGCUCGAGUGGCGCACGGGUGAGUAAUACGUGAGUAACCUGCCCUUGACUUUGGGAUAACUUCAGGAAACUGGGGCUAAUACCGGAUAGGAGCUCCUGCUGCAUUGUGGGGGUUGGAAAGUUUCGGCGGUGGGGGAUGGACUCGCGGCUUAUCAGCUUGUUGGUGUGGUAGUGGCUUACCAAGGCUUUGACGGGUAGCCGGCCUGAGAGGGUGACCGGCCACAUUGGGACUGAGAUACGGCCCAGACUCCUACGGGAGGCAGCAGUGGGGAAUAUUGCGCAAUGGGCGGAAGCCUGAUGCAGCAACGCCGCGUGCGGGAUGACGGCCUUCGGGUUGUAAACCGCUUUCGCCUGUGACGAAGCGUGAGUGACGGUAAUGGGUAAAGAAGCACCGGCUAACUACGUG
rnacentral:rRNA from 1 species